UACGGGGGGAGCAAGCGUUGUUCGGAUUUACUGGGCGUAAAGGGCGCGUAGGCGGUCAGCACAAGUCAGUUGUGAAAUCUCCGGGCUUAACUCGGAAAGGUCAACUGAUACUGUGCGACUAGAGUGCGGAAGGGGCAACUGGAAUUCUCGGUGUAGCGGUGAAAUGCGUAGAUAUCGUGAGGAACACCUGCGGCGAAGGCGGGUUGCUGGGCCGACACUGACGCUGAUGCGCGAAAGCCAGGGGAGCGAACGGG
rnacentral:rRNA from 1 species